AGUAGAAAACAAGCCUUCGCCGAACAGAAGAAGGCGGUUGUGUCAAUUAAAUGCCACAGAGUUUUGUGGCUCAUGUGUGUUGUGACAGUGUGAAAGGCACAGGAAGGAAAGGCCAUGCUUCCUCUGAUGCUCCUGCUGCUGUGGACCAGAGCAGAUAAGAACACACACAUGGAUGCACACCCAGCCAUGAACAAACAAUCACAACACAGAUCCAUGCUGCCUGUGCUAACACCCCCUCCCUCUCCCACUCCCCUGCAGAUCAGCAUCCAUGUGGUUUGGCCUCAUAAUCAACUCCCUGCACCGCCCCACCUCCAUGUCACACAUUUUGGUGUGCGCUCGGCGGUCCAAGUCGGAGUGUUUGAAUUGGCAGUGCUAGCUGAGCACUGGAAGCUCUUAGUUUCUAAUAGGCAAAUAAUCAUUGUAUUGAACUAUUUGGGUUAGUGAGACAAAGCAAUCGUCCUGGCAACUCCACCAGCUGUAGAUACAAAGCAGAGUCCUCUCAUUCUUCUCAGUGGUUUAUUAAGGUGCAUGCAUGGAUGAAAAGGCACCUCCUUCAGAAAUGAGUAAAGAACUUCCUGGAGAGUGUGUAUGCUGUGCUUUUGAGGGCGAGACUGAUGCUGAGAGUGUGUCUCUGUUAUUUUCUGUGUGUGAGGGGCGUGUGUGUGUUUGUGUGCGUCCGCUGACGUAAGCCUCUCUAUCUGAUCAUGCCCUUCUAAUCCCCACAGUGAUGUGUCAUGAAUAUGGAGUUUAAGACUCAAAUCCCCAGGGAUACACAGGCUAUAGAUAGCUUGCACCUUCCUCUCUCUCUCACACACACACACACACACACACAUACAAAAGACACACACUUUAAGCAGCAGCCCCAAUUUGGCCCACACACACAUUGUACACAUCGCUCCUGACCCUUGUGACGUUGAAGGAGCAGAACAGGAAAAAGCCAGUAAAAGAUGAUUAAGAUGAACGUAACAGAGUCGGAAGAGUUUCAGUGGAUGAAGAGAAUAACAGAGGAAUGCAGAAAGUGAAGAAUGUGCUUGUAGAGCUGCUGAUUGGUUGUUUAAAUUUAAGGAUAUCUCUGGUUUGUACAGAGCUAGGCCUAAUUUGUGUCGCUUUGGCUUUUUGAUGGCAAUAACCACUCACUGUAUUACAAUCGCCUAUUAUCUCACUAUGUAGUAAUUAAUAUCAGUGGAAGAGGUGUGCCAUUUCUGCACAUGCACAAGGUUGCACAGAACACAAUUCAUGUAUAUAAUUCACCAUGAUUUUUUUGUCAUUGAUAUCAGCUUUGGGUGGCUUUUCUUUUAAUGCAGCCAUAGGAAACACGGUAUAUUUGUCAUUGCAGUCAGCACUAGUCCUAAUCAUCCACAAAACCAGACAAUGGUCAUUUACAGCAAUUUUUGACAACUGACAGAUAUCAAUAUGUGAAGCAGUGGAACAGAAAGGAGCCUCUACAGAGGAGCUGCAGGUCUCAUGAAUCCAAAGCUUCAGUAAAGUAUUCAACUUUAGUGUUCUGUGUAUGUUGUUUUUGCACCGCAUUCAGCAUAAAAUCAGAUUGUGAUUGCUGUCAUUACUGACCAAAAUCUUUAUACAAAAUGAGGUUCUAAAGGCUGUGUACAGCAUACAGGAAGAGCAGUGAGAGUGAACCAGAACAGUAAAAUUGGCCAGACAACAUAAGAAUUGGUUAGAACUCGCCAUGAAGCUUUGCAAAUCUGAUUGAAGCGGUAGCUUUGCGAAGUGCUGAAAUGUGGUAAUGCGGCUACAUCCAGUGCACAGGAAGUCCAAUGAGGUAAUAAGCACAGAGAGUGAGAUGAUCGUAUUGGACAGUAAAAUGAUUUCCCAAACUGUCCUUUGUAAGCAUCCACCACACUUUACAGACUAACUUUGUAUUUAUCGUAAUCAAAAUCAACUUUAUUGGCCAAGUAUGUUGACAUAUACCAGGAAUUUACUCUGGUUCUCUUAGACUCCCAACAUACUCACACACAACACAAUGCAGAAAACAAAUUUACAUAAUAAUGCAAAUCCAGACUUACUACUAAACAAAUGUAAGCAAAAAAUAGUUUGGUUCCUCUCUUAUUAUCUGAUUUGUGUGUUUUUUCUACAGUUGUAGUGAUGCUGUCUUGUUCCCAGAACCCAGUAAUGACUUUGCUGUGUUGUUAUAACUGAUUCAGAUGAUGGCCACAACAGUGAAAAUGAGGUCCACAUUGCAAUAACCUCAAAUGGAGCGGCUAAGGUGUACUGGAAGCUCUUUAUAUUUUAUGGAACGCAAUAAUCUGGAAGUGUGUUUCCUCGGGUUAUUGUGGCCUAGAACACACACAGACACAUACUGCAGGUGAUAAAAGACAUAAUGCAUGUAGCAGAGGAUACGUGGAAUGGAGGCUGGAAUGAAACGAAUAUCAUCUUGAAAACAACAUUACAGCCAGGAUACGAAUGGUUAUAAUCAGUGAAACCCCAGUGCAGUUACUUUGCAAGACAGUGGCCAGACAUGGAUCAAUCCCACCCGGAAUUGGGUUUCACAUCCCGGAAGCAGAGAUGUACACAUGGGUCACUUUCAUCGACUCACUGCGGCCAUGGCCAUAGGUAUCCAUCAUACAGACCAUUGACUGCUUGUGACCAUGAAGGUACAAAUUCAUCACAAAGAGAGGCUGCGGUGGAUGAGACUGAAGAUGAAUAACAGAUGCUGUGAUGGUGUCACGAUCUGAACUCCAGACUUGGCCGACUCGCCUGAAGACUGAGGGAGAGAAAUGAAAGGAAGGAUGAAAGAGAGAUGAGAAGAAGGAGACGAUAAAGACUGAUCGCCACCGACUCAUGUCCUGUACGCUGAAAAUUGACCUAUCCAUGCAUGUGCAUCUGCGCUCCGGAGGUCCGAAAAGCCAGGUUGCAUUGCCAAGAACCCUUUGGAUGUGAACUCAAACUCGGUCUGUGAGGGAGUGACUAUAAGGAAUACUUUUUUUUUCUUUUGGAGU